rnacentral:rRNA from 1 species
UAGGGAAUAUUGGGCAAUGGAGGCAACUCUGACCCAGCCAUGCCGCGUGCAGGAUGAAGGCGUUAUGCGUUGUAAACUGCUUUUAUAUAGGAAGAAAUAGACCUUGCGAGGUAAGUUGACGGUACUAUAUGAAUAAGCACCGGCUAACUCCGUGCCAGCAGCCGCGGUAAUACGGAGGGUGCAAGCGUUGUCCGGAUUUAUUGGGUUUAAAGGGUGCGUAGGCGGUUUAUUAAGUCAGUGGUGAAAGACGGUCGCUCAACGAUUGCAGUGCCAUUGAUACUGGUAGACUUGAGUGAGAUUGAGGUAGCUGGAAUGGAUAGUGUAGCGGUGAAAUGCAUAGAUAUUAUCCAGAACACCAAUUGCGUAGGCAAGUUACUAAGUCUCAACUGACGCUGAGGCACGAAAGUGUGGGUAUCAAACAGG